rfam:Merops nubicus contig91741, whole genome shotgun sequence.
AGCCUGUGAUGGUUUCAGAAUAAGAGUAGUGGACAGAAGUGAUUUCUGAAAACUUUGUGCUGAGGCU